UACGUAGGGUGCAAGCGUUAAUCGGAAUUACUGGGCGUAAAGCGUGCGCAGGCGGUGAUGUAAGACAGAUGUGAAAUCCCCGGGCUCAACCUGGGAAUUGCGUUGGAGACUGCAAGGCUGGAGUCUGGCAGAGGGGGGUAGAAUUCCACGUGUAGCAGUGAAAUGCGUAGAGAUGUGGAGGAACACCGAUGGCGAAGGCAGCCCCCUGGGUCAAGACUGACGCUCAUGCACGAAAGCGUGGG
rnacentral:rRNA from 1 species